rnacentral:lncRNA from 1 species
CUUCCAGUUCAGUCAUUACAGAAACUGUAUGAAGAGUGAUGGCUCCUGUUGAGGAGGGUCUGAUCACCUGGUUAUCAGGUUGUUCUUCCUCCCUUCAGAUUAGCAUUGUGUCAGCCAUCUUCAUCAUCAUUUAUGUCACAGUCUACAGCCUUUGUACAAGCUGUUUCAGUAUGUCUGACAGUGUUUCACCCAGGUAUUUGCACAGACGAGAGAAAACAAAUAUUCCAUCGGCACCUCAACAAAAUAAACUACCUGAGUCCCAGAGUGUUGAAUAUAUGCUAGAUGCCAAGGAUCUAACUGAUCAUAUAUACUCACUCAUAGAGGCUGAACUGAAUGAGGAAAAUCCUUAUGAGUGCAUUAGUGAGCCUCCGUUACAGCCUCCAUCUGACAAAGCUGACGGGGAGAAUGAGAGCCCUUCCCCAGCAAUGACAAAGCCUGAUGAUAAUCACUCUGUCUCAGCCCUCAACAAACCAGUAAACAAGCAGGCAGUGGAGCAGCCUGACGCUUUACCUCAACAUUUGACCGACUCAGAACCGACUGCUGUCUAUGCUGCAGUGAACUGGAAAACCAAGAGUCAGAAGAACAUAACACCUCUCUCUGAUACGGAUACUGUGGUUUAUAUGAGUGAUAUUGCUAUGGAGGCUGUCCCUCCCAUUCCAGACAAACAUUUCUAGUAUGACGAAAGGGCAACAUUUUCAUUUACAAUGCAUUAUUUGUAUUUAUUCACAUUUUGCAA